CCUCUUGGAGUUCUAGCUCAUCUUUCUGAUGUUGUUCUUGUACUCAUCUGUUUAAUCUAGUUCUGCCACUUCUUCUUGAACUUCUGGUUAGAUUUCAAGUCUGUAUUUUGUGUCCGUGACAGUAGGUGACAAUGUCUUUUUUGAUAAAUUUUUAUAUUUUAUUUUAUCUUAGUUAUUUUAUUAUUUAUAGACCAUGUCAAAUGCAAGAAUUAUGUUCUCUCUAUUCUUACAAAUAGUCGCAGAUGGUGCCAUAUAUGAGUCCCACAAAUUGAUCUUAAUUAGUGG
rnacentral:lncRNA from 1 species